rnacentral:rRNA from 1 species
AUUGAACGCUGGCGGCAGGCCUAACACAUGCAAGUCGAGCGGAGCAGCGGACGGGUGAGUAAUGCCUAGGAAUCUGCCUGGUAGUGGGGGCUAACGUCCGGAAACGGGAGCUAAUACCGCAUACUAUCAGAUGAGCCUAGGUCGGAUAAGCUAGUUUGUGGGGUAAAGGCCUACCAGGGCGACGAUCCGUAACUGGUCUGAGAGGAUGAUCAGUCACACUGGAACUGAGACAAUGUCCAGACGCCUACGGGAGGCAGCAGUGGGGAAUAUUGGACAAGGGGCGAAAGCCUGAUCCAGCCAUGCCGCGUGUGUGAAGAAGUUCUUCGGAUUGUAAAGCACUUGAAGUUGGGAGGCGUUACCAACAGAAUAAGCACCGGCUAACGUCGUGCCAGCAGCCGCGGUAAUUC